GACGUAGGGUCCAAGCGUUCCGGAUUUACUGGGCGUAAAGAGUGCGUAGGCGGCUCGUUAAGUGUAGAGUGAAAUCUCUGGGCUCACCCCAGAAACUGCUCUGCAUACUGGCGAGCUAGAGGGUCGAAGAGGUAUGUGGAAUUCCUGGUGUAGCGGUGAAAUGCGUUGAUAUCAGGAGGAACACCCAUGGCGAAGGCAGGUCUCUGGGCCGAUACUGACGCUGAGGAGCGAAAGCGUGGGGAGCGAACAGG
rnacentral:rRNA from 1 species